rnacentral:lncRNA from 1 species
CUCCUCCGGCUCCUGCUUCUCCUCCGGCUCCUGCAGCUCGGCCUCCUGCCGUCGCGGCGUCUCAUCCUGCAGCUGCUGCUGGAGCCUGCCUCCAGGUAUCCACCCGGCCCUCCAAGCCCUCCAGGCGUCAAAUACCAGUCCCGGCCACUUGGCAAGAACAACUGAAGCUUUCUCAGCAUUUUGUUGGAAAAUGAGUGGGCAUGUGGACAGGACGGGCCUUCUCACCUGAAGUCCAGCUCGAUUCUCUUUCUGGGACCUGAAUGUGACUGCAGGGCAAGAGUCCCCCAUCUGGGUGUUGGAGCCUCAUUUGAAUCCCUCUUAUCAGCGAGUUCUAAGGAUGACUAUGUGCACGAAGGUGCAGUGUGGUGGUGGUGUCGGGGCAGGGAGUUCCACCUAAAAGUGUAUCUUGAGUCCCUCGUGCAUCUGACCUCCUCCCACAAAUCCUGGGACUGCCCCCUAGCCCUUACCUCCAGCAGGGCAGAAUUCUGCUUCAAGACGUUGGUUUUGAUUUCAGCAUCUUCCACAGACCGGGUCACCUUCCAGCAGUUCUCCUGGGUCAGACACCAGGGCGAGGGCCCUGCCUUCCCAUUCCAGUUCUGCCUCCCAACCCUUAGCCUGUCUGUUUCCAUCCAGGCUCCAGGCCUCCUAGCCCCCCAGUACAAGACACACUCACCAGCUCAUUUCCUUGGCUAAGGGGAUGGCUUCCUCCUUAGCCAGAUGUGCCAGAGUGGCACCCCUCCACUUCCUCCCACCUCUCUUCGGUCCACCCAUUCCAUUUCUCCUCUUUCUUUUCUUUUUUUCUUUUGAGACUGAGUCUCGCUCUGUCGGCCAGGCUGGAGUGCAGUGGCGCAAUCUUGGCUCACUGCAACUUCCACCUCGUGGAUUCAAGCAAUUCUUCUGCCUCAGCCUCCCAAGUAGCUGAGAUUACAGGCGCCCG